UACGUAGGCAGCAAGCGUUGUUCGGAGUUACUGGGCGUAAAGAGUAUGUAGGCGGUUGCGUAAGUUCGGUGUGAAAUCUCCCGGCUUAACUGGGAGGGUGCGCCGAAAACUGCGUGGCUUGAGUGCGGGAGAGGAGAGCAGAAUUCCUGGUGUAGCGGUGAAAUGCGUAGAUAUCAGGAGGAACACCGGCGGUGUAGACGGCUCUCUGGACCGUAACUGACGCUGAGAUACGAAAGCGUGGGUAGCAAACAGG
rnacentral:rRNA from 1 species